rnacentral:rRNA from 1 species
UACAGAGGUCCCAAGCGUUGUUCGGAAUUACUGGGCGUAAAGAGUGUGUAGGCGGUGCUCUAAGUUCGGUGUGAAAUCUCCCGGCUCAACUGGGAGGGUGCGCCGAAAACUGGAGUGCUGGAGCGCGGGAGAGGAAAGCGGAAUUCCUGGUGUAGCGGUGAAAUGCGUAGAUAUCAGGAGGAACACCGGCGGUGUAGACGGCUUUCUGGACCGUAGCUGACGCUGAGACACGAAAGCGUGGGUAGCAAACAGG